rnacentral:rRNA from 1 species
UACGGGGGGGGCAAGCGUUGUUCGGAAUUACUGGGCGUAAAGGGCGCGUAGGCGGUUUGUUAAGUUGGAUGUGAAAACUCUGGGCUUAACCCAGAGCCUGCAUCCAAAACUGGCAGGCUAGAGUUUUGGAGGGGGAAGCGGAAUUCCUGGUGUAGCAGUGAAAUGCGUAGAUAUCUGGAGGAACACCGGUGGCGAAGGCGGCAUCCUGGACCGGCAUUGACGCUGAGGCGCGAAAGCCAGGGGAGCAAACGGG